AUUGAACGCUGGCGGCAGGCCUAACACAUGCAAGUCGAACGGUAACAGGAAACAGCUUGCUGUUUCGCUGACGAGUGGCGGACGGGUGAGUAAUGUCUGGGAAACUGCCUGAUGGAGGGGGAUAACUACUGGAAACGGUAGCUAAUACCGCAUAACGUCGCAAGGCCAAAGAGGGGGACCUUCGGGCCUCUUGCCAUCGGAUGUGCCCAGAUGGGAUUAGCUAGUAGGUGGGGUAACGGCUCACCUAGGCGACGAUCCCUAGCUGGUCUGAGAGGAUGACCAGCCACACUGGAACUGAGACACGGUCCAGACUCCUACGGGAGGCAGCAGUGGGGAAUAUUGCACAAUGGGCGCAAGCCUGAUGCAGCCAUGCCGCGUGUAUGAAGAAGGCCUUCGGGUUGUAAAGUACUUUCAGCGGGGAUGAAGGGAGUAAAGUUAAUACCUUUGCUCAUUGACGUUACCCGCAGAAGAAGCACCGGCUAACUCCGUG
rnacentral:rRNA from 1 species